CGUUAUACGUAAGGGUGCGAGCGUGUCCGGAAUACUGGGCGUAAGAGCUCGUAGGUGUUUGUCGCGUCGUCUGUGAAAUCCCGGGGCUUAACCUUCGGGCGUGCAGGCGAUACGGGCAUAACUAGAGUGCUGUAGGGGAGACUGGAAUUCCUGGUGUAGCGGUGAAAUGCGCAGAUAUCAGGAGGAACACCGAUGGCGAAGGCAGGUCUCUGGGCAGUUACUGACGCUGAGGAGCGAAAGCAUGGGUAGCGAACAGGAUUAGAUACCCUGGUAGUCCAUGCCGUAAACGGUGGGCGCUAGGUGUGGGGGUUUUAUUUACGAUUCCCGUGCCGUAGCUAACGCAUUAAGCGCCCCGCCUGGGGAGUACGGCCGCAAGGCUAAAACUCAAAGGAAUUGACGGGGGCCCGCACAAGCGGCGGAGCAUGUGGAUUAAUUCGAUGCAACGCGAAGAACCUUACCUGGGCUUGACAUACACCGGAUCGCUGCAGAGAUGUAGUUUCCCUUGUGGCUGGUGUACAGGUGGUGCAUGGUUGUCGUCAGCUCGUGUCGUGAGAUGUUGGGUUAAGUCCCGCAACGAGCGCAACCCUUGUCUUGUGUUGCCAGCACGUUAUGGUGGGGACUCGCGAGAGACUGCCGGGGUUAACUCGGAGGAAGGUGGGGAUGACGUCAAAUCAUCAUGCCCCUUAUGUCCAGGGCUUCACACAUGCUACAAUGGUCGGUACAGUGGGUUGCGAUACCGUGAGGUGGAGCUAAUCCCUUAAAGCCGGUCUCAGUUCGGAUUGGAGUCUGCAACUCGACUCCAUGAAGUCGGAGUCGCUAGUAAUCGCAGAUCAGCAACGCUGCGGUGAAUACGUUCCCGGGCCUUGCACACACCGCCCGUC
rnacentral:rRNA from 1 species